rnacentral:misc_RNA from 1 species
AAGUCGUAACAAGGUCUCCGUAGGUGAACCUGCGGAGGGAUCAUUACCGAGUGAGGGCUCGCGCCCGACCUCCAACCCUUUGUGAACCCCACUAGUUGCUUCGGGGGCGACCCUGCCGUCAUCUGGCGACGGGCGCCCCCGGAGGCCCCCAACACUGCAUCUCUGCGUCGGAGUCAAAGUUAAUUAAACAAAACUUUCAACAACGGAUCUCUUGGUUCUG